AUGCUCACAAAGGCGCAACGGAUCACCUUGUCGAAAGAAAAGCAAGGUGGAUCCACGAGCAGUGGCAAUAAGAAGGGAAAAGGGAAGCAACACUCAGCGAGAAAGAACUUCACCUACUCGGACGACGAGGAUGCGGCGGCACCACCGAGGAGGAAGUUUGUUGUCAAUAAAGCGAGGUGUCAUAAAUGUGGCAUCCUCGGUCACUUCUAGGCUAACUGUGAAGAAGCACCGAAGCAGUAGGCACUCGUAGCUGAGGAUGGAGACGAUGGGGGUGUGAUGCUGAUGUGUGAG
rnacentral:rRNA from 1 species